rnacentral:rRNA from 1 species
CUACGGGUCGCAGCAGGCGCGAAACCUUUACAAUGCACGCAAGUGUGAUAAGGGAACCCAAAGUGCUUUGCUUUUAGUAAGGCUUUUGUUAAGAGUAAAUAUCUUGACGAAUAAGUGGUGGGAAAGACUGGUGCCAGCAGCCGCGGUAACACCAGCGCCACGAGUGGCAAUCAUAAUUAUUGGGCCUAAAGCGUCCGUAGCCUGUUUAAUAGGUCUUUUGUGAAAUCGUCGUGCUCAACAUGACGCCGUGCAAAAGAUACCAUUAGACUUGGAACCGGGAGGAGUCAGAGGUAUUUUUGAGGGAGCGGUAAAAUGCUAUAAUCUCAAGAAGACCACCUGUGGCGAAAGCGUCUGACUAGAACGGCUUCGACGGUGAGGGACGAAAGCCAGGGGAGCAAAAGGGAUUAGAUACCCCGGUAGUC